rnacentral:rRNA from 1 species
GAUGAACGCUGGCGGCGUGCCUAAUACAUGCAAGUCGAGCGAACAGACGAGGAGCUUGCUCCUCUGACGUUAGCGGCGGACGGGUGAGUAACACGUGGAUAACCUACCUAUAAGACUGGGAUAACUUCGGGAAACCGGAGCUAAUACCGGAUAAUAUAUUGAACCGCAUGGUUCAAUAGUGAAAGACGGUUUUGCUGUCACUUAUAGAUGGAUCCGCGCCGCAUUAGCUAGUUGGUAAGGUAACGGCUUACCAAGGCAACGAUGCGUAGCCGACCUGAGAGGGUGAUCGGCCACACUGGAACUGAGACACGGUCCAGACUCCUACGGGAGGCAGCAGAAGGGAAUCUUCCGCAAUGGGCGAAAGCUUGACGGAGCAACGCCGCGUGAGUGAUGAAGGUCUUCGGAUCGUAAAACUCUGUUAUUAGGGAAGAACAAAUGUGUAAGUAACUAUGCACGUCUUGACGGUACCUAAUCAGAAAGCCACGGCUAACUACGUG